GAUGAACGCUAGCGGCAGGCUUAACACAUGCAAGUCAAGGGGUAUUGGUUUUCGGACCAAGAGACCGGCGCACGGGUGCGUAACGCGUAUGCAAUCUACCUUUUGCAGAGGGAUAGCCCCAGAGAAAUUUGGAUUAAUACCUCAUAGUAUAGUACUUUGGCAUCAAGGAACUAUUAAAGUCACAACGGCAAAAGAUGAGCAUGCGUCCCAUUAGCUAGUUGGUAAGGUAACGGCUUACCAAGGCUACGAUGGGUAGGGGUCCUGAGAGGAGAUCCCCACACUGGUACUGAGACACGGACCAGACUCCUACGGAGGCAGCAGUGAGG
rnacentral:rRNA from 1 species